UACGGAGGGUGCAAACGUUGCUCGGAAUCAUUGGGCGUAAAGCGUACGUAGGCGGACCGCUAAGUCGGAUGUGAAAGCCCUCGGCUUAACCGAGGAAGUGCAUUCGAAACUGACAGUCUUGAGUAUGGAAGAGGGUCGCGGAAUUCCCGGUGUAGAGGUGAAAUUCGUAGAUAUCGGGAGGAACACCAGUGGCGAAGGCGGCGACCUGGGCCAAUACUGACGCUGAGGUGCGAAAGCGUGGGGAGCAAACAGG
rnacentral:rRNA from 1 species